AAAGCCAUCAAGAUGGAUGCCCCGUGGGGGAAGCAUUUUUGUGGUCAUGUUUCUGGAGUCUUCUGGAGUCUUGUUCCUGUGACCUGUUGCAUGGGCAGUUGUUGGGUGAAAAUGGGGACUGGAGCCAUCUGGCAGGAGUCCCUGGACCUGGCUGUACAUGGGCUUCUAGAAGGCUGCUGCCCUUGGACUCCAGAGUGGACAAGGAUGGACCAGAGAGUGCUGUCCUGCUGUGGGGACGAGUGUCACACAGUGAGCCCGGCUAUCUGUGACUGCCUGCCUUGAUGCAGUUUGCCUGAAACCUGGAUGGCCACUUCCUUCCUGGUGCCUCUGGCUCUCAGACCCUGUGCCUGUGGGAUUAUCUCUAGGAUGGAGGCCUGGGUCCGUCUCCACAGUGCUAGGGCUUAUUAAGUGUCUCCUUAAAGUUACCAAAGCAGUGCUGGAGGCCAGGGCAGGAGUGUCCCCACCUCCUCUCUGUGGAUGGACAGAUGCUGUGCCAGGGGCUAAGGUCCUGCCCCGCCCCCUCUGCCAUCUCAACACUGUACCUGAAGUGUACCUCUGAUGCAUCCGAUGUGUAAGCCUGUCAUUUGUGUUUUUGUGAGAUGCUGAUGUGCUGCUUAGUACGUGCAAGGCCAUCUAGUGAGAUACCAUGUCCAUUAAAACUGGAGCAGAGAAACCUGGAGAUGUGGGGGGAAUCCCACAGAAAGAGGCCCGGAGUCCUGGGCCACUGCAGAGGAGUGGCACUUGUGGGAGCUGGCCUGUGGGCUUCUUUACUGCUCCCCAGGUGGAGGGUCCUGGUGGAGCCCAGCUGGCCCCUCCUGGUCUGCUGGGGAGUGCUGGCCUGGCAGGCAGGGUGGAGGUGGGGCUCUAGGCCAGGGAGGCUGUGGUCUGUGGCUGGAUUGUUCUGAGCCACCACCCUCGCCUGCAGCCUUUAUUGCGGGUCUGUCCUGAAUUCCUGGCAUUUCUCCUCCUGUCUGCACCCCCUCUAGCCUGGCCUCGGGCUGCACCUGGGUGUGAGCCCCAGAAGACAGCUUCUGCUCAGGGCCCUCUUCCAUCUUGGGAGCUAUAACCUUGAGCCAGGGCCUCCACCUGCACCUCUGCUCAGCGUAGUAAGGACACUGCCUGUCAUGUGCCUGGGACUUCCUGGGGUAGGGUGUAUGUGUGUGUGUGGGGGUGGACUUUGGCAUCUCCCACCACCUGGUGCUGUGACCUUGGGAGCAGGCCACACCAACCCCUGGUGUUUCUGGGCCUGAGGUUGCAGAGGCCAAGCAGUGGUUGGAAACAGGUCCCUGUUCUGGCCUGCAGUCCUGAGCUCCUUGCUCACAGCUUGUUCCUGCCAAGGGCUGCCAAUCUUGCAGCCUUUGCUGGGUUCCUUCUCUAGGUCUAGGUUCCCCCUUCAUCCGGGCAUCCUGGUCUGUGAGCCAGUUGGACAAGGCUGGCUCCAACCAGCCAGCCCCACUGUCCCAGCUGCCUGGGACUGUCCCAGCUGCGGCCAGGCUCCAGAGUCAGGAGCAGCUGGAUCUCUGCAGGUGACCUGUGACCCCUUUGUACUCAGCUUUGGUUUUUUCCAGAGAGUCUAGGGAUGGGAACUUGAGCCUACUAGAAGGUUGCUCCUUUUCAAGAUGGAGCUGUGCCCUUGAGAUACUGUGACUUCCUUGGAGGGACCCUGAAUGGACAGUCCCAGGGAUAUGGUUGGGGGGUGGGGGGAGUGGGCAGGCAGCGGAGGAAUUCUGUGGAGGCCAGGUAUGUCCAGGAACCUCGCUCUCUCUCUGGGCCUUGGACUCCCUGCUGCUGUGUGCUGUGUGGUGUGGGCCUUGGCAGCCUGCCCCCCCGCCCCCUAUGCUGGCUGGCUGACUGUCCUGACUGCAUCGUGGACAGCCGAUGGCAGCCGAGCCCAGAAACAAGCGCUCUUUGCUUUUCACUUACAACCACUUGCUCCAGUUUCAAAGAGUGUCUGGAUCCUCCCAUGAGAUGGAACAAGAAUUGCUACAGCAGGGACACCCCCCCCACCCCCACCCAGAGCAUACUACUAAGGUCACAAGAAGAAACUGGAUUUGAGCUCAAGCCUCAGUCACUGCUCAUCUGAUCCCCUGAUGGGGGCGUCCUGGACUGCUGCUAGCACCCUAUGUCACAGCUGAGAAACUGAGGCACACAGAGGCUUUGGGACUGUCCCAAUCUCUAACCUAGGAACCCUGAUGUCCGAUGCCUCUAGCCUGGGCUGGUGGCCCCUCCUGCACCUCCCUGACCUGCUGGAAAUUGGCUGAGGCCAGGGUGCAGCAUCCUAGGCUCAGGGGUGCAGUCCGAGAGUGGAGGGCCUUCAGCAUCCUCCCCAGUAAGGUAAGGUGAGGGGACGGAGAGGCUUGGGGCCCAGGCAGCCUCCCAAGAAUGCUCAGGGGGGACUUGAACCCGGCCCAGCGGCUGUCAUCUCAGGGCACGAUGCCUGGAUCCUAGGGCCCCAGUACAGCCACCUUAAGGCCUGUUCUGCUUCAAGCAGGGUGCAGGGGGUGUUGGGGUGUGGGGCAUGGCCUCAGUCCUGGGAAUGAUGACAACAUAAUAGGUCCCCAGUUCCCAGGCUGAGCCCCGAGAGCUGGGUGCUCCACUCUAGUCGUGCGGCCUGGCCUGUGUUCCAGACGGCUGUGACAGACGGGUCGGCGUUAAGCUGUGCUUUGGAUUAAAAGUACUUUAGUGACAAUGCUUGAUAUUUCAUUUUUGGCUCUGAUAGAAAGUUUAAAAUAGUUUGAUUUAAUUUUUUUUUUAAAGAAUGUUGGUUUAAAUUAAAAAUUCACUUGCGCAGGGUGGAGGCAGCUUGCACGUUGUGGGUUUGACAUGUGGCUUCCUGUGACUGAGGACCUGUUUUAAGGGGAGGUUGGCUGCUGGGGGGGGCGCCUCUUACCUGGGGCAGGCCCCUCCCAUGCUGUCCAGCACUGAGGGCACCACACGGCUUUCCCUGUACUGACUGCUGUGUGGGUGGUUGGUAGGCCUCUGCGUGGUGCUCAGCUGCAUAUGCAGCUGGGUGCCCAUCAGCCUGCCUUGACUGCUCGAGCCUCAGUUUCCUCAUCUGUAAACCAGAAUGAUGGUGACUGGGACGGGGUUGAUGAGCCUGUGGGAAACUCCCAAGAGGCACCCCAGGGAAAGGUAUAGAUGUACCCCAUCAGGCCUUAGUCCACCUGGCAGCUCUGACCCCUGCUGCCCCUGUGCCUGGUACCUGGCCCAACCACUCAAGGCUCGGGUCUCCAUAGGAAGGAGGCCAUGAGAAAGGCCCUGUGGGAUAUCGGGGCCUCUGUGCAGGAUUCUGUUCUGGGGUUCAGAUGGACCUUCACUGGCCCCAACCUUUGACUUUAUCCCCUCUGGUGCUCCACGGUCCUAUGAUUCUCACCGAAGAUAACCCCAGGCUGCAGUCUCCAUCCCGUGUGCUCACGGUGCUAGCCUUUGGGUCCAGCCUGAGGACAAUGAAGCUCCCUGCUGGCUGCCCCACCUCAGGGACUGGUCCAACACCUUCCAUGUGCAUAUACCUGGGGACCAGCUCACCCUACCCUGCCUGCCCCGCCUUCCUCCUCCAGUUGACAGUGGUAGUGAAUGGCAAGCUAAUCAGCUGGCAGAAACAGAAGGGAGGGUCGGGUAGGACUUCCUUAAGUCCCUGGCUUCUUGUCACCCAUCACAGGCCAGGCUUAUUGUCCUCCAUCUCCAGAGGCAGCUAGACACAUGGCCCUGGAGCCCCGGCAUAUUUACUCCACCCACGUGAGUCCCUGGUUCUCACCAUGCAGGUGGGCACUCCUGCUGGUUCAGGUGGACCCUGAGUGAGGUCCUGUGUCCAUUCUGCUGCAGGGUGGGGUUGUACUGGGAGCUAUAGACAGGAGGUGCCCUGUUCAAAGAUGGGGCUGCAAAGUGGGCAUCUGGGGUGCCUUGGCUCCCAAACACCCCAAAAUGGAGCCUGAAAGACUGGCAGAGCUCCUGGGAGAGAGGUCCCAGGAACAGGGAGAAGGAGUCAGGCUCCUGGCUCCUCCCUACGGGGUCCCUGAGGACCUUGGGAAAUACCUCAGAACUGUCAGCUCCAUGGCAGAAAGAUGCAUUUCUAUAGGGCCUGUUUACACAGGCCAGGGGCCAGCAGCCAGACCCAGCUGUGCGUGUGCACACCUAGAGACUGCCUGGGUCCUGGGGCAGCAGAGACAGACAGCCAUGGGGGACCCUGCAGGGCACCCCUGACCUCAUGGGUACUGGGAAGGUGCAGUGGAGCCCAGGGCUAUGUGGAGGGUGGCUAGUGUGCCACCUGGAUGUCUGUGCCCACUGGCUGGCCAGGCCUUCCAUGAGCUCCACGUCCCAUCCCACAGGCAGAACCCUCCUGCACUCCUGCCCUCUCAGAACCUCUUACAAUGAAGCUCAGCAUCUAGAGUGGCCCUGGCCUCCUUGCUGGCUCCUGCCUGCUUAGGCCCCAUCCAUAUGGGCCGUCCGCAGUGGGAUGGGGAUGGGUCUGAGGGAGCCCACAGCAGGCCCUGGUGGAAGGAGCAGGGCUCAGGGGCAGGCACACACCAUCCAGGCCCUUUGGACCAGUCUGUAGCCACAAAUGACAAUUCUUUGGGAGCUGUCCCCAGUCCCUGUGUACCCUGUGACAUGGCUAUGGAGUGAGCUGGACUUUCAGUGUCUCUAGUGGGCCUGGCCAGGACUGCAGACCAGCAGUGCCCUCCUCAGAGGUCUGAGUUUGGGUCAGGGAGGCAGAGUGCCUGGGGAACAUGGGUGACUUCUGAGAACACUGCUCUGUGAGCUCUGUCCACCGUGUGACCUUGGACUCCCCCACCAUGGCCUUGGGUGAACUUACUGUGGUCUUGAUUGAGCCUCUCACUGUGACCUUGGUGAGCCUUUAUGACCUUGGAUGACCUCACUAUGACCUUGUACUGGACGCUGUCCUGGUCAGCUAUCAUGAACAAAAGGGAUUUGGCCUCAUGUCUGGGGAAGGCCUGGGAUCCCUGAGCGUGAUGGAGGAGCAGGGAGGGCUGGUCCAGGUCCAGCCACAGGCCUCCCUUCUGUGCACCCUGCACUUCCUGUGAGAAGAGAGCUCAGGUCCCGUCCUGGAGCACAGAGUUGUGCACUGAGAUGCAGGCAGGGUUGGCCCAUCAGCUUCUAGAUGGGAAGUUCCGGAAGCUUUCCUGCCACUUACCCUGGACAUCAGAACCUCACCCUGGACAUCUUGAGCUUCUGUCUGUGACCUCACCAGUCUUGUGGCCUCAGACCCUCAGGCCUGGAGUCUGAGUCUUCUCUGUGUCCACCAGAGUCACAGGAAGAGAUCCUGGCCCAAGUAGGCUCUGAAGGGGCAGGUGCCGAGGGGCAGCAGGCCGAUUGCUUGGCCCGAGUCCUUUUUUCCUGGGGUUCCAGGGCCUGGCUCUCAGCAUUCACCCCUGGGUGGGAGCCAGGGCCAGCCUGGCCUUGGAGAUGACCGCAGUGUGCAGGAGGAGGCCCGCCCCCAGCAUACCCCCUCCUCUGGAGUCCACCCCCUCCCUGCGGGCACUCAGACGAAAAGCGUGUGGUUUUUGCAAAAUGAAACAGCGACUGUUUCCAACCAUGCCUUUGAGCCGCCAAAAAAUGUGGAGUAUUCAUUAUCUGGCCCCCAGCCUGCCGAUUAGUGGGCAGCGUUCCUUGGAGGGCUGACCCGAGGGCUGCCCUGCCACGCACUGGGCAUCCGUCCCCAGAGUGCCCGUAGCUCCAGGUCUGUGCCCCUGCGGGGGUAGCGGAAGCAACCCUCUUGCCCCUUUGUGGCCCUGCCCAGAAAGCCCUUUAUUAUCCAGAAAGACACACAGACCCCUCCACUGCUGCCCAAGCAGUCCUGGACAGGGCAGGGAACCCAUCCUGUGCUGCAGCUUCAAGCUGGGGAGCACAGUGGUGACCCCCCUCAUCUUGCUGGAGGGACUCUGUGUCCUAAGGACCUUCCUGGGCAUCUGGGCUUCAGACCCUGGAGACAAACGUAGAGUGCACAGCUGGUGGGGCCAGGCUUGCCUUCCGGGGAGAGGUCUGCAUGCCUGUGGAGAGAACGCUGGGAAUGCUGUUCCAGCUUUUAUGAGGACAGACCUGUUUCUUGUGACCAAUGGAUCUCAAGAAGUUUAUUCACCCACUAUCUAUCCAACCGUCCACUAUCCACCAUCCACCAUCUACCGUCCACCAUCCACCAUCUCUUCAUCCAUCCACCAUCCACUAUCCAUCCUUGGCUGAACAGAGACUGCACACCAAGAUGGUCACUGAGUCAGCCUGGUGUAGAAGAAGUACCUUGAAAGUCAGCUCUGUUCCUGAUGGGUCAGUGACCUUGCACAGGGACUUACCUCUUUUGGCCUUCAGUUGUUCAGUUAGAUCAGAUUGCCCCAAAUUUUGUACAAAUGCAUUGGUGAAGUUUUAUGACCAUGUUUUCUUCUCUCUGAUCAUGUUUUUGUCUAAAAGCUUUUAUAGUUUUAGUUCUUAUAUUUAGGUCUUUGAUCCAUUUUUAGUUAAUUUUUGUGUAUGGUGUGAGGUAGGGGUUCAAAUUCAUUUUUUUACAUGUUGAAAUCCAUUUGUCCGAGCAUCCUUUGUUGAAGAGUAUUCUCCAUAAGAAUCAACUGAUCAUAAAUGUGUGGAUUUGUU